GAUGAAGAACGUAGCGAAAUGCGAUAAGUAAUGUGAAUUGCAGAAUUCAGUGAAUCAUCGAAUCUUUGAACGCACAUUGCGCCCGCCAGUAUUCUGGCGGGCAUGCCUGUUCGAGCGUCAUUUCAACCAUCAAGCCCACGGCUUGUGUUGGGGACCUGCGGCUGCCGCAGGCCCUGAAAACCAGUGGCGGGCUCGCUAGUCACUCCGAGCGUAGUAAUACAUCUCGCUCAGGGCGUGCUGCGGGUUCCGGCCGUUAAAAAGCCUUAUUUACCCAAGGUUGACCUCGGAUCAGGUAGGAAGACCCGCUGAACUUAAGCAUAUCAAUAAGCGGAGGA
rnacentral:misc_RNA from 1 species